AUUGAACGCUGGCGGCAGGCUCAACACAUGCAAGUCGAGCGGAGAUGAGGUGCUUGCACCUUAUCUUAGCGGCGGACGGGUGAGUAAUGCUUAGGAAUCUGCCUAUUAGUGGGGGACAACAUUCCGAAAGGAAUGCUAAUACCGCAUACGUCCUACGGGAGAAAGCAGGGGAUCUUCGGACCUUGCGCUAAUAGAUGAGCCUAAGUCGGAUUAGCUAGUUGGUGGGGUAAAGGCCUACCAAGGCGACGAUCUGUAGCGGGUCUGAGAGGAUGAUCCGCCACACUGGGACUGAGACACGGCCCAGACUCCUACGGGAGGCAGCAGUGGGGAAUAUUGGACAAUGGGGGGAACCCUGAUCCAGCCAUGCCGCGUGUGUGAAGAAGGCCAUAUGGUUGUAAAGCACUUUAAGCGAGGAGGAGGCUACUGAGACUAAUACUCUUGGAUAGUGGACGUUACUCGCAGAAUAAGCACCGGCUAACUCUGUGCCAGCAGCCGCAGUAACAC
rnacentral:rRNA from 1 species